UUCACCUCCCUCCCGACAAAGAAAUUAACCAUGCAAUAAUUCACGGAUGAAAAUUCACCUUAUUAAUAAAAGCGAUGUGAAACCCAAGUCAGCCACAAGCCAGUAGCCAUGGCUAGUAGUAAUACUUUGCAUUGUGGCUAAUAGUAUUAAUAGUAAUUAAACUACUCGACAAAAUCGAACUUUUUAUACCCGGUACUCGAAGAGUAAAUGGGCUAUAUUGUAUUUGUGCACAAAGUGGCUGUAUGUAGAGCACAGAAGGAAACGUUUCCGACCCCAUAAAGUAUAUAUAUUCUUGAUCAGCAUCAAUAGCCGAGUCGAAUGAGCCAUGUCCGUCUAUCCGUCUUAUUGAUCGCCUGGAUCUCAGAGACCAUAAAAGCAGGUUCUAUGCUCACACUAUUACAAGUGUAUUUAAAAAAUGAGCCCCGCCCCCGCAAAAGGCGAAAACCUCCCAAACCUACAAUUUUGUAGAUAAAAGAAAUUUUAGAAUAUUCCGUAGGGAAUGGCCAUAUUUAUUAGAUCACCAAAUUGGGAUCCGAUUGGAUCAUUAUUAUAGCCAGAAUGAAGAAAUUAAUUUGCAGUGGCUAAACCCACCCUGUCCCGCAGAUUUUUUUGGUUUUUUACAUUCUCUCAUUCACACUCUGCUUCGUCCUCUGUCUCUGCCGCGAGUCUGCAGUGUGUGGGUCUAGGGAAGGGCGUCGAGCUAAAGAAGCGUGUUGGUG
rnacentral:lncRNA from 1 species